UGUUAGACUUUUGUGUCCCAUGCUUUCCCUGAUCUUGUUGCUCCUUGCACUGGAGUUGGCCAGUGUCCAUGCUGUUCGUGGUAAGGGCGCUGAGGAACAACAGCAGUAUCUGAGUCCAACACAGGGUGGCACUCUUCAUUAAGUAAUCUGGCAGCUGUGUGGGAAGAUGUCUCCUGCGAACUCCUGUGACUCCAGGAAAAGGAAUUCUUUCCUUUUUCAUCUGGCCACAGAGAGGGGUGUAGAAGCACCUAGAGAAAACCCUCUGGAUUAAUCUGUCAGAGUUUCCAGAUUGGAAGACCCACCCUAAAUGGAUGGUGCUAUUUCAGGGGCUGUCCUUCCCCAACUGAAUAAAAAAGAGAAAGCAAGCUGAAUGAGUAUCAGCAUUCACCCUCUCUAUUCCCAACUGGAGAGAAAGUGUGACCAGCUGCCUCCAGCUCCUGACGCCAGGAUUUCCCCACCAUAAUGGACUGUACCCUCAAAUUGUGAGCCAGAGUAAACCCUCACUUCCUUACGUUGCUUCUGUCAAAGCCAUGAGAAAAAUAACUGAAUUGCAUGCCCACAAAUGCAACCACUGUGGCCUGACCUGACCUGAAGUCGCUAUGAAUCGAGAGAGACACUCUCUCCUGGUCUUAUAGGUGCACCACCUCCAAGUUUCCUCUCCAGAAAUGGGAACAAGCUUCCAAAUUAGCAAACUGUGCCUGCAGUGCCUCCCCACCCCACACACCACCCAGAUCUUUAGUGGAAUGUUUAAACAAGCACUGAUAACAGGUUCCCCAACAGCCCAAAUAAACUUUUACAAGGAG
ensembl:processed_transcript